UGCGUAGGCGGCGCGCUAAGUCAGUAGUGAAAUCCUGCAGCUUAACUGUAGAACUGUUAUUGAUACUGGUUUUCUUGAAUUUAGUUGAGGUAGGCGGAAUGUGUAAUGUAGCGGUGAAAUGCUUAGAUAUUACACAGAACACCGAUUGCGAAGGCAGCUUACUAAGCUAUGAUUGACGCUGAGGUACGAAAGCGUGGGGAGCGAACAGGAUUAGAUACCCUGGUAGUCC
rnacentral:rRNA from 1 species